CACGUAGGAUCCAAGCGUUAUCCGGAUUUACUGGGCGUAAAGCGCGUGCAGGUGGUUUGUUAAGUUGGGUGUUAAAUCUCUCGGCUCAACUGAGAGGUGUCGCUCAAAACUAGCAGACUGGAGGAUGGUAGAGGAUGGCGGAAUUCCGGGUGUAGUGGUGAAAUGCGUAGAUAUCCGGAGGAACACCAGUGGCGAAGGCGGCCAUCUGGACCAUUCCUGACACUCAAACGCGAAAGCUAGGGGAGCAAACGGG
rnacentral:misc_RNA from 1 species